rnacentral:rRNA from 1 species
CCUACGGGUGUCAGCAGUGGGGAAUAUUGGACAAUGGGCGAAAGCCUGAUCCAGCCAUGCCGCGUGUGUGAAGAAGGCCUUCGGGUUGUAAAGCACUUUCAGUGGGGAAGAAAGCCUUGGGGCUAAUACCCUCGAGGAAGGACAUCACCCACAGAAGAAGCACCGGCUAACUCCGUGCCAGCAGCCGCGGUAAUACGGAGGGUGCGAGCGUUAAUCGGAAUUACUGGGCGUAAAGCGCGCGUAGGCGGUCUGAUAAGCCGGUUGUGAAAGCCCCGGGCUCAACCUGGGAACGGCAUCCGGAACUGUCAGGCUAGAGUGCAGGAGAGGAAGGUAGAAUUCCCGGUGUAGCGGUGAAAUGCGUAGAGAUCGGGAGGAAUACCAGUGGCGAAGGCGGCCUUCUGGACUGACACUGACGCUGAGGUGCGAAAGCGUGGGUAGCAAACAGGAUUAGAUACCCGUGUAGUC